rnacentral:rRNA from 1 species
CCUACGGGAGGCAGCAGUGAGGAAUAUUGGUCAAUGGCCGUAAGGCUGAACCAGCCAAGUAGCGUGAGGGAAGACUGCCCUAUGGGUUGUAAACCUCUUUUAUGCGGGGAUAAAGGUGUCCACGUGUGGCUGUUUGCAGGUACCGCAUGAAUAAGGACCGGCUAAUUCCGUGCCAGCAGCCGCGGUAAUACGGAAGGUCCGGGCGUUAUCCGGAUUUAUUGGGUUUAAAGGGAGCGUAGGUCGGUUGUUAAGCUUGUUGUGAAAGUUUGCGGCUCAACCAUGAAAUUGCGGCGGAUACUGGAGACCUUGAGUGCGCGGAAGGUAGGCGGAAUUCGUGGUGUAGCGGUGAAAUGCUUAGAUAUCACGAAGAACCCCGAUUGCGAAGGCAGCUUGCUGAAGCGUUACUGACGCUGAAGCUCGAAAGCGCGGGUAUCGAACAGGAUUAGAUACCCUAGUAGUC